GUGACAAGAAAUAUUGAUAUUGGACCCAAAGGGUACAAUGAUUGAAAUGAGAACAAUAUAAAAAACUUAACGACUAACAAUUGGAGGGCAAGUCUGGUGCCAGCAGCCGCGGUAAUUCCAGCUCCAAGAGUGUAUAUUAAAGUUGUUGCGGUUAAAAAGCUCGUAGUUGAAUUUCUGAAAAUAAUCUUGUGAUUGAUUUAACCGUCAUGAACAAAAAUUGUUUACAUACUUGAUAGAUGGAAACAUUUAUCUUAAUGACUUUGAAAAAAUUAGAGUGUUCAAAGCAUGAUUCACAUUUGAAUAAUACAGCAUGGGAUAAUAUAAUAUGACAUUAGUUAAAAUUUGUUGGUUUCUUUGGCUAAUGUAAUGAUUAAAAGGGACAGUUGGAGUAAUUUAUAUUGGUUGGGAGGGUGAAUCCUAUGAUCCUUCCAAGAUAAACUAGUGCGAAAGCAUUUUACUAGGAUGUUUUCAUUAAUCAAGAACGAAAGUUGGGGGAUCGAAGAUGAUCAG
rnacentral:rRNA from 1 species